GGCAGCCAUCCACACACACCCGGCACCCUAGAAGAGGCCCCCGACCCCGCAGCCUCCUCCCGAACCCUAGCCGCCUCUCCUCCCUCUGCCCCGCUCACACCCGUCGUCGUCCGCGACCCCAUGGCCUUCUCGCCGUGAAGCUCGCGCCCUCCGUCGAUCCCGUGCCCGGAGUCCAUGUCCUGCAGCUCCGUCAGCCUCCUCUACGUCGUCUACGACCACCACCUCGAGCUCUAUGCCUCUACAUCGCCGGGAUCGACGUCGUCUUCCUCACCUACAGCCGCCGUUGCCUCAUCCGAUCUACCUCACCGGAGCUCCUCCGCCCCGUCCGACGCGUCCUCCGCCUUCCCCUAUGAUGGAGCCCAGGAGAUGGAGGUCCCAGCCACAGACGACUGCUACCCCGACGGUGCCUACUACUACGUGGAGGCCGCUGAUGAUCAGGAGUAGUUAGGAGGUUCCCAGGCAGGAGGCCUCGCCUCGUUCGAUCGUUGUAUCUUUUGAGCUAGCCUUCUCUAAGGCACCCCAUGUUUUAUGUCUGUACUCAGAUAUUUGUUGCUUCCGCUGACUCGUGUGCUUAUCGAGCUUUCGUAUUCUAGCCCUCGAGGCCCCUGGCUUGUAAUAUGAAGCUGAUGUUAUUUUCA